UACGGGGGGGGCAAGCGUUGUUCGGAAUUACUGGGCGUAAAGGGCUCGUAGGCGGUUUGUCGCGUCGGGAGUGAAAACCUCGGGCUUAACUCGGGGCUUGCUUUCGAUACGGGCAGACUGGAGGUAUGCAGGGGAGAACGGAAUUCCUGGUGUAGCGGUGAAAUGCGCAGAUACCAGGAGGAACACCGGUGGCGAAGGCGGUUCUCUGGGCAUGACCUGACGCUGAGGAGCGAAAGUGUGGGGAGCGAACAGG
rnacentral:rRNA from 1 species